rnacentral:rRNA from 1 species
GACGAACGCUGGCGGCGCGCCUAACACAUGCAAGUCGAACGAGAGAUGAGGAGCUUGCUCUUCAAAUCGAGUGGCGAACGGGUGAGUAACGCGUGAGGAACCUGCCUCAAAGAGGGGGACAACAGUUGGAAACGACUGCUAAUACCGCAUAAGCCCACGACCCGGCAUCGGGUUGAGGGAAAAGGAGCAAUCCACUUUGAGAUGGCCUCGCGUCCGAUUAGCUAGUUGGUGAGGUAACGGCCCACCAAGGCAACGAUCGGUAGCCGGACUGAGAGGUUGAACGGCCACAUUGGGACUGAGGCACGGCCCAGACUCCUACGGGAGGCAGCAGUGGGGAAUAUUGCACAAUGGGCGAAAGCCUGACGGAGCAACGCCGCGUGAACGAUGAAGGUCUUAGGAUCGUAAAGUUCUGUUGUUAGGAAGAUAAUGACGGUACUCAACAAGGAAGUGACGGCUAACUACGUG